ACAAAACAAGCACAGUAUUUUGGCGUUGGCAGCUCCUUCUCCUGGAAGUGCCACUUUGUGCAGCCAGGAAGCCCCAUGUCCCUUUGAAGAAUGUCUGCAGGGGAGAACAGAUAUUUUUAGAGGCACCCUCCAGCAAUGAGCAGUUCAUUGCCAGCUUAUCUCUGUGUUUAAACAAUAGUCAACCUCUUCCGCUCUCAGUUGGUGAUUCACAGUAAUUUUGUCUUAUACGGGCUCUAGUCAAGAUGAAGGUAGCUGCAUACAUUUGAUCAGACUUUCACAUUAGCUGGAUUCUGACAGGCUGGCACUGUCCUCUUUUAGCAGUGUUCUUUGUGCAUACAAAUAUGCUGGCACAAGUAUUUCCUGAACCGCGUGGCUGAGUAUGACCAGCAUGGGAAUACUCCUACCCCAGGGAGUGAAUCGGUGCCUUGCCUACAAGGUUCAGAAAUUUUGUUUCCCAUUUCGGGCACUGCACUGGAAACAUGAUACAUCCAGUUAAUCUUCAACGGGCGAUUUCAGACAUUAUAGGUCCACUUAUACCUUGUGAUGAAUUACUGCAGUGUUUGGCAAAUAUUAAAUAACAUUUUUUUGUUGACAUGGAAGUGUGACCUGCAGGCUGCAGCUGGUCCCAGUGCUCAGCACUGUUUGUGUCCUGCCGUCUGGUUCUUCCUCCCUCUGUUUGCUUGCUAUUGAAACACAGCUGGUUUACGUCCAUCACAAUCAAUGGAAGGACAUUUCCGAGCUGGUAAUUGCUUAAAGGAUCCGGUGCUGAUGGCUUCUGGAGCUGCCAAUCCGGGGAGCAGCUUUUGGCUCCUACUGUGUACAAAUAAACAGUGUAAAUCGGUGUCAAACGCCAGAUGUCCAUCACAUUACAGCAUGGUGGCCUAAUUCCAAAUAUCAGAAUUUUACAUGGACGCUUGAUAACAAAGAAGGAUAGUAGACCCUCCAGAAUUCCCUGCUCAAUAUUAUCUACUCUUCACACAAGGAUAUAUUGUGAUUUUAUUGUUCAUACCAAGCAAUACGAAAUCUUUAACUGUUCCCUUUGCUUUUCUUUCAGUUUAGUUACCAGAUGUAAAACAUUUUUUUCUGAUCAAAGGUUUGGUGUUUGGUAUCUUUACAAUAAAAAUAUAUCAUACAUGCUUACAAUUA